rnacentral:rRNA from 1 species
AACGAACGCUGGCGGUAUGCCUAACACAUGCAAGUCGAACGAGACCUUCGGGUCUAGUGGCGCACGGGUGCGUAACGCGUGGGAAUCUGCCCUUGGGUUCGGAAUAACAGUUGGAAACGACUGCUAAUACCGGAUGAUGACGUAAGUCCAAAGAUUUAUCGCCCAAGGAUGAGCCCGCGUAGGAUUAGCUAGUUGGUGAGGUAAAGGCUCACCAAGGCGACGAUCCUUAGCUGGUCUGAGAGGAUGAUCAGCCACACUGGGACUGAGACACGGCCCAGAAUCCUACGGGAGGCAGGAGUGGGGAAUAUUGGACAAUGGGCGAAAGCCUGAUCCAGCAAUGCCGCGUGAGUGAUGAAGGCCUUAGGGUUGUAAAGCUCUUUUACCCGGGAUGAUAAUGACAGUACCGGGAGAAUAAGCUCCGGCUAACUCCGUG